ACCCUCUUAGCACAGUAGGCAGCACAUCAGUUUCAUAAUCUGAAGGUCCUGACUUUGAACCUCAGAGAGGGCA
rfam:TPA: Bos taurus chromosome 9, whole genome shotgun sequence.